AUAAUGAUACUUCUGAAUUUUUGAUUUAAAUUCAGUCAUAUAAUGACGGUGUGAUUCCGAUGU
rfam:Eubacterium sp. 14-2 genomic scaffold acPFD-supercont1.2, whole genome shotgun sequence.